CUUCUCCAGCUCUCGCCCCCUUUCUCCUUUAGCUGCCACCGGCUGCUCUGUCUAGCUUCUCACCUGCUGGCUUUUCAGGUACUAAUCUCUAUGUGGUAGGCUGAAUAAGGCCCCCACCAAAGAUGUCCUUUUCCUAAUCCCCAGAACCUGUGAAUAGCUUACAUUACACGGCAACAGGGACUUUGCAGAUGUGGUUAAGGUAACAGAUUUUUAGAUGAGGGGAUUAUCCUGGAUUAUCGGGUAGGCUCAAAAUAAUUACAUGAUCCUUUAAAAGCAGAGAACAUUUCCCGACGAAAGUCAGAGAGAUGAGGCCUCGUGAGAAGGAUUCCACACACUCACACUCUCGCUGGCUCUGAGAUGUAGGUGCCCUUGUGCAAGAAUCAGAGAGAGGCUGCAAGGAGCCAGUGGCAGUUCCCGCCGACAGCCCGCAGGGAAGCAGGGACCUCAGUCCAUCAGGCAAAUUGAACUGAAUUCCGCCAACAAGGCGCAGAGGCCUGGAAACAGAUGCUUCAUUAGAGCCUCUAGGAGGGAGUACAGCCUGGCCAACACCUUGAUUUCAGCCCUGUGAGGCUUGAAGCCCACACACCAGCCGCGCCCACUGGACUUCUAACCUACAGAACUGUGAGCUUCAACUCCUGGCUAAUGAGUGAAGAAGGUCACUGUAGGAGUGUGAGGACCAUCAGGAGCUUCAUAUUUCAAUAACCAGUGCCAAAUUCUGAAUGCCAGAUGGGAUGAGAUGGGAUGUUAAACCACUUCUUAUUACCACGUUGUUGGCCUCCAUUGCCUUCGUAUUGGUCUCCAAUUGCAUGGUCUCUGUGGAUCUCUGACUUCUUAUUACCUCCGAUUGGAACGCGCCACAAAUCAUCCUGCUUUCUUUAUCCUCUCUCACCUCCAAGUAAUCCUGUCAUCUUGCUCCAAUUAGAGCCGCUUCCAUUAAGAAGAUCGUGACAAAUUCCCUACCCCUGUUUGCUCUUCAGGAAAAUUAUCCCCUGGAAAAGUGGAUGUUAUAGUCGCUUUUCAGAAUGUAUUGUCUGAAUUUCUUGUCUUCCAACAUUCUCCUAAGCCAGUUACCUUUGCACUGAAGUAGAAUUCAAAAGGAGAUAGAGGUUCUGAAUUUCUUCCUUUGACCAGAUGGAAGUCGUUACAUCAGAAUGCUGAUGACUGCAAAAUCUUGGACAUAUUGUUUUCACAAUUAGGAAAUGGCAAACACAAAGUUCUUCAGUGCAAAGCCAGCAUGCGAGUUCAGCUUCCAUUUGCUGCUAUAAAUUUUGUUCUUGUUGCUGCCAGUAAACACCAACUGUUCAAGUGAAAUAGUAAAUCCAAAUGUGCCUGUUGGAUGAGAGUAAAAAAAUUAUAUGCUGCAUAAAUGCUGAUGCAAAAGGAUUUUUCAACACACUAAACCAGGGUAGGGAAAGGAACCGAGAAAGAAAGUUGAACUGAAUGCAGCUCUCACUAACAACUUCUUGGUAAAAGCACUAAAAAAGCUCUUGAUAGAAUGUUGAUUCAACAUACUGUUUAAACCUCAAGGAAAAAAACAAACGCAGAAUUGGGAUAUUGGCCUUAGGAUAUCUGCUUAAAGUCCUACUUUGAGCUCUCAUCAGGGUUACCAAAGAAGGCGUACAUAGAUUGUUACAAAUCAAAGCAAAGAAAAAUCCCAAAGUUCCCUCAAAACUGAUGUGGGCACUUGGCCCAGAAGUUGUUUGCUAAUGAUCAGUCUAACAGCUGAAAGUCAAAGUCAGUGGCUAGUACCAUCUGCAAUAGGAUUUAGGAAGUUUUGAUCUCACAAAUUUACUGUAAGGCUAAUCAAUGAAUGUUUGUACUCAGGUCUCCCUACAGUUAAAUUUAAUGUGUAACUGGAAUUACGAUUCAAAGAGAUAGUUUCAUAAAUGGUCCCUGAAAUUUAAUUUUGGAUUACCUAAGUUUACAAUGGAUUUCUCUUCUCCUUUCCCCAAUAUUUUUCUUAC
rnacentral:lncRNA from 1 species